UGAAAAUAAAUUAUUUAGUUCUUCAAACUAAUUUAUUUCCUUCAAACUGAUUUAAACCGUUUUGAUUCUUCAAACCUCUUUUUCUUCCAGAUUUGUAACCUUUUAAUUCUCCAGUUUUAAAUAUUUUUUACUCUUAAUACAUUAUUCAGUUCUUUCAAACAAAUUCAAAACUUAUUGGUUCUUCAAGCCUUUCCCAUACUUCAGGGUUUUUAAUCAUUUUAAUUUUCAGAUGUUGAAUUUUCUAAAAUUGUUAUUCAUGCAUUAUUCAAUUCAUUCAAUCGAGUUUAUUCCAAUUGAUUCAAAUCUUCCUGAUUCUUCAUACCUUUUGACCUUUCACAUAUUUUAAAAUUCAGCCAUUCGCAAUAGCAGCGUAGCGCUAGCAAUUUCAACUGAAGCAAUCCCACUCGCAAUUUCUUCAGAAAUUGCAUUUUCUAGUUAUUAUUAUUAUUCUUCCACCGUUUUUUGACACGCUACUCCUUCCACAUACUUCAACGUAUUCAAACCAUUCAAACUUCAAAAGAUUCAUCUCAUUCAGGAGAUUCCGGCUUGUAUUCAAAAAUUUCCUAACAUUCAUACUUUCCGAGAUAUUCCAGGUUUUCCGACCGAUUUCUCCCAUUAGAAAUGCAUUAUGGAAUGUUCAAAUUGGCUUCAAACUUCAAAAGCCUUCAACUCCGCUAUACUUCCACGUAGAAACUUCAUUCAAAAACCAAAAUAUUCACAAAUUCUUCAGCAUUAUUCCACAUCUUCAACCUUUUUAAUCCCAUUUGUACUUUUCAAAAUAUUAAGAUCUGUUUAAAACUUCGUUAUAAUGGGAUUCAAUGGGAAAAGGCUUUCAGACGUAGUCAACUUCAACCUCUUCUCAUUCAUUCAUGCUUUCACCUAGAAACUUCAUUCAAACUUUAAAAUAUUCACACAUCUUCAGACAUUCACUCAUUCAUUCACCAUCUUCAUGGCAUUCAUACUUUUCUCACAGUGACAGUUCAAAAAUUCACAUGAUUUUCUGGCCUGUUCAGGUUUUAACAUUAGUGUGUAUUGCACGGAAUGUUGGCCGCUAGAGUGGGUGACCUCACAGCUAGAGUGAGACAGGCUGAAAAUUGAUCCUCAAAACUUUGUCUUUACAAAAGGAUUGUGGCAACUCACUUCACUCUACACAGAUAAAAUUUGGUACAGUGAUGGCAAAACUCGCUGUCACUCUUCAUCUAAAAAAUCAAAGCCAUAGGACACACACAGUGGCCUGGGCAGACACCAACUGCCGCAGACAUCCCCCAGAUUUCUCCAGCUUUCUCCAUUGACUCCAAUGUAAACCUGAGAGGAGGAUUUUCAGAGGAAACAUGAACUGGACAUGUUUUUAACUUGUUGUAGUGAAGGCAUUUUUGGCUCCACAAACACAGAAGUUGUAUCAACGUGUUCAGCCGGGCCUUGUGGUUCUCACAAGCUCCUGAUCAUGAAGAUAGCAGUUACAGAGGAUGAGAAAUAUGACGUUGUUUGGGCAUUACGCUCUCAGCCUCAAGCCUCCUUUCUCCUGCUGUUGUUAAGCAUCUAUCGUCACCAUGGCAACCAAUAAGAGCACCUGGAGACACACAGCUGGCUGGAAAGCUGCUUCUAACAGCCAUAUGAGACACAUGAAGCCAGGCUCAGUACACAGAGUACUGGGGGUUACAUUUAAAACCCUUCAAUAGAGUUAUUUGACAAAAUUUGUCAUCUAUCUCUUCGCACAAACCUUGAGCUACAGAAACCAACCAGGGCUUAAUAAAUUCAGCUCAUUGAGGACAUUAUGGGGUCUAAUCAGGAUUUUUAUUCAUUUACAUUGUCCCCAUUUUUCAAUCAUUCAUUGAAAAUGCAUUAUUUAGUUCUUCAAACUAAUUUAUUUCCUUCAAACUGAUGUAAACCAUUUUGAUUCUUCAAACCUCUUUUUCUUCCAGAUUUGUAACCUUUUAAUUUUCCAGUUUUAAAUCAUUUUUUACUCUUACUGCAUUAUUCAGUUCUUUCAAACAAAUUACAACUCAUUUAAACUGAUUCAAACCUUAUUGAUUCUUCAAGCCUUUCCCAAACUUCAGGGUUUUUAAUCAUUUUAAUUUUCAAACGUGGAAAUUUCAAAAUUAUUAUUCAUGCAUUAUUCAAUUCAUUCAAUUGAGUUUAUUCCAAUUGAUUCAAAUCUUCCUGAUACUUCAUACCUUUUGACCUUUCACAUAUUUUUAAAAUUCAGCCAUUCGCAAUAGCAGCGUAGCGAUAGCAAUUUCAACUGAAGCAAUCCCACUCGCAAUUUCUUCAGAAAUUGCAUUUUCUAGUUAUUAUUAUUCCGCCGUUUUUUGGCAGUCAACUACUUCCACAUACUUCAACGUAUUCAAACCAUUCAAACUUCAAAAGAUUCAUCUCGUUGAGGAGAUUCCGGCUUGUAUUCAAAAAUUUCCUAACAUUCAUACUUUCCGAGAUAUUCCAGGUUUUCCGACCGAUUUCUCCCAUUAGAAAUGCAUUACGGAAUGUUCAAAUUGGCUUCAAACUUCAAAAGCCUUCAGCUCCUCUAUACUUCCACGUAGAAACUUCAUUCAAAAACCAAAAUAUUCACAAAUUCGUCAGCAUUAUUCCACAUCUUCAACAUUUUUAAUCCCAUUUGUACUUUUCAAAAUAUUAAGAUUUGUUUAAAACUUCGUUAUAAUGGCAGUCAAUGGGAAAAGGGCUUCAGACGUAGUCAACUUCAACCUCUUCUCAUUCAUUCAUACUUUCACCUAGAAACUUCAUUCAAACUUUAAAAUAUUCACACAUCUUCAGACAUUCACUCAUUCAUUCACCAUCUUCAUGGCAUUCAUACUUUUCUCACAGUGACAGUUCAAAAAGUCCAAAGAUUUUCUAACCUGUUCAGGUUUUAACAUUAGUGUGUAUUGCACGGAAUGUUGGCAGCUAGAGUGGGUGACCUCACAGCUAGAGUGAGACAGGCUGAAAAUCGAUCCUCAAAACUUUGUCUUUACAAAAGGAUUGUGGCAACUCACUUCGCUCUACACAGAUAAAAUUUGGUACAGUGAUGGCAAAACUCGCUGUCACUCUUCAUCUAAAAAAUCAAAGGCCAUAGGACACACACAGUGGCCUGGGCAGACACCAACUGCCGCAGACAUCCCCCAGAUUUCUCCAGCUUUCUCCAUUGACUCCAAUGUAAACCUGAGAGGAGGAUUUUCAGAGGAAACACAAACUGGACAUGUUUUUAACUUGUCGUAGUGAAGGCAUUUUUGGCUCCACAAACAACAAGUUGUAUCAACGUGUUCAGCCGGGCCUUGUGGUUCUCACAAGCUCCUUAUCAUGAAGAUAGCAGUUACAGAGGAUGAGAAAUAUGACGUUGUUUGGGCAUUACGUUCUCAGCCUCAAGCCUCCUUUCUCCUGCUGUUGUUAAGCAUCUAUCGUCACCAUGGCAACCAAAGGGAGCACCUGGAGACACACAGCUGGCUGGAAAGCUGCUUCUAACAGCCAUAUGAGACACAUGAAGCCAGGCUCAGUACACAGAGUACUGGGGGUGACAUUUAAAACCCUUCAAUAGCGUUAUUUGACGAAAUUUGUCAUCUAUCUCUUCGCACAAACCUUGAGCUACAGAAACCAUCCAGGGCUUAAUAAAUUCAGCUCAUUGAGGACAUAAUGCGGUCUAAUAAGGAUUUUUAUUCAUUUACAUUGUCCCCAUUUUUCAAUCAUUCAUUGAAAAUGCAUUAUUUAGUUCUUCAAACUAAUUUAUUUCCUUCAAACUGAUUUAAACUGUUUUGAUUCUUCAAACCUCUUUUUCUUCUAGAUUUGUAACCUUUUAAUUUUCCAGUUUUAAAUCAUUUUUUACUCUUACUGCAUUAUUCAGUUCUUUCAAACAAAUUCCAACUCAUUUACACUGAUUCAAAACUUAUUGAUUCUUCAAGCCUUUCCCAAACUUAAGGGUUUUUAAUCAUUUUAAUUUUCAAACGUGGAAAUUUCAAAAUUAUUAUUCAUGCAUUAUUCAAUUCAUUCAAUUGAGUUUAUUCCAAUUGAUUCAAAUCUUCCUGAUACUUCAUACCUUUUGACCUUUCACAUAUUUUUAAAAUUCAGCCAUUCGCAAUAGCAGCUUAGCGAUAGCAAUUUCAACUGAAGCAAUCCCACUCGCAAUUUCUUCAGAAAUUGCAUUUUCUAGUUAUUAUUAUUAUUCCGCCGUUUUUUGGCAGUCAACUACUUCCACAUACUUCAACGUAUUCAAACCAUUCAAACUUCAAAAGAUUCUUCUCAUUCCGGAGAUUCCGGCUUGUAUUCAAAAAUUUCCAAACAUUCAUACUUUCCGAGAUAUUCCAGGUUUUCCGACCGAUUUCUCCCAUUAGAAAUGCAUUACGGAAUGUUCAAAUUGGCUUCAAACUUCAAAAGCCUUCAACUCCUCUAUACUUCCACGUAGAAACUUCAUUCAAAAACCAAAAUAUUCACAAAUUCGUCAGCAUUAUUCCACAUCUUCAAC
rnacentral:lncRNA from 1 species